CAGCCGCCACGGGAAAACGUAGGUGGCAAGCGUUGUCCGGAAUUAUUGGGCGUAAAGCGCGCGCAGGCGGCCUAUCCAGUCUGUCUUAAAAGUUCGGGGCUCAACCCCGUGAUGGGAUGGAAACUAGUAGGCUAGAGUAUCGGAGAGGAAAGCGGAAUUCCUAGUGUAGCGGUGAAAUGCGUAGAUAUUAGGAAGAACACCAGUGGCGAAGGCGACUUUCUGGACGAAAACUGACGCUGAGGCGCAAAAGCCAGGGAAGCGAACGGGAUUAGAGACCCCUGUAGUCCCUGUCUCUUAUACA
rnacentral:rRNA from 1 species